GUUUCAGUCUUCAAGCCUGUCAAGUGAGCAUGUUUGACAAGGUCUGAAAGGGAAUUAAGACUGCAGAAUAUCCCUUAAUUUUUGAGUUCUGCCACCUGGCCUAAUAGAAGAUAUUAACUCCUCUCUACACCUUGCAUCAUAGAUGGAUACAUAACAAUGCUUUCAGUUCUAAGGAAUCACAAUAAAGCUGAUCAGCCUCUUUUAAAAUUUGGAAGAGUAAAAACACUGGAAAAAACCCUAAAGAGAAAGAAAUAUCAAGGAUACCUUGAAUUCCCUCCAUCCCACCUGAUUGACAUGAGAGUUUUUAGGAGCAUUCACAUUUUGGGCAAGACUAACUGUAAUUUCUUCAGGAGACCAACAGUAGUUAUGUAACUGAAUCCUGUGAACACUUUGCAAAGCUUUAAGUUUUAUUCUGCAGCUUCCUCAAUAUUAAUAGUAUUUAGGUUUAUUCUUGUUCUCUCAUGCCCCAUUAA